UACGAAGGGGGCUAGCGUUGUUCGGAUUUACUGGGCGUAAAGCGCGUGUAGGCGGCUUUGCAAGUCGGGUGUGAAAGCCCUCAGCUCAACUGAGGAAGUGCGCCCGAAACUGCAGAGCUUGAGUGCCGGAGAGGGUGGCGGAAUUCCCCAAGUAGAGGUGAAAUUCGUAGAUAUGGGGAGGAACACCGGUGGCGAAGGCGGCCACCUGGACGGUAACUGGCGCUGAGACGCGAAAGCGUGGGGAGCAAACAGG
rnacentral:rRNA from 1 species